rfam:Trichobilharzia regenti genome assembly, scaffold: TRE_scaffold0083816
GUACUGAUGAAGAGUCCCAAACUAGGACGAAACAGCUGCCCGGUAC